UACGGAGGGUGCAAGCGUUGUCCGGAUUUAUUGGGUUUAAAGGGUGCGUAGGCGGCUUUGUAAGUCAGUGGUGAAAUAUGGCAGCUCAACUGUCAAGGUGCCAUUGAUACUGCAGAGCUUGAGUACAGAUGAGGUAGGCGGAAUUGACGGUGUAGCGGUGAAAUGCUUAGAUAUCGUCAAGAACACCUAUAGCGAAGGCAGCUUACUAGGCUGUAACUGACGCUGAGGCACGAAAGUGUGGGGAUCAAACAGG
rnacentral:rRNA from 1 species